rnacentral:rRNA from 1 species
AUGAAAACAGAGCAAGCUCAUAAGGCGUCCCUGGCUAAGAGCUUCUUCGUCGACGUCCUCGGCACCACGGCGCCCGCCACAACGGGACUCAAUUGGGAGCGCCCCAACCUGCCGGUCCAUGACCUCUCUGAGCUUGAGCAGGAAUUCACUGCCUCGGAAAUCCGGCAAGCCAUCCAGGACACGCCGCUUGACCGCGCGUCGGGCCCGGACGGCUUCACGGGCAGGUUUUUCAAGGCAGCGGCAGAUAUCAUCCUCCCGAACCUCCUGCUGGCCUUCCACCAACUGCGCGCCAUGAACCGACAUGGCCUCGCAGGGAUCAACAAUGCCAACAUCGUAGUCAUCCCCAAGACGGACGGGGCCGCGUCCAUGGGCGAUUUCCGGCCGAUCAACCUCCUUAACAGCGUACCGGAGCUGUAUACCAAGGUUUUGGCCACGAGACUCGCCCGUCGAAUUCACGAGCUCAUCUCGCCGACCCAAAGCGCGUUCAUCCGGGGGCGAAGCAUCCAGGAC